UACGAAGGGGGCGAGCGUUGUUCGGAUUUACUGGGCGUAAAGGGCGCGCAGGCGGCUCAUUUUGUCAGGCGUGAAAGCCCCGGGCUUAACCUGGGAACUGCGUUUGAUACGGAUGGGCUAGAGUUCGGGAGAGGAGAGUGGAAUUCCCAGUGUAGAGGUGAAAUUCGUAGAUAUUCGCAAGAACACCAGUGGCGAAGGCGGCUCACUGGCCCGGAACUGACGCUGAGGUGCGAAAGCGUGGGGAGCAAACAGG
rnacentral:rRNA from 1 species